UAAGCCAUGCGAGUCGAGAGGUUCAAGACCUCGGCGUACUGCUCAGUAACACGUGGACAAUCUGCCCUGAAGUGGAGAAUAAUCCCGGGAAACUGGGGGUAAUACUCCAUAGUUCGUUAUUACUGGAAUGUUUUUCGAACGAAAGAUCCGUCGCUUCAGGAUGAGUCUGCGGCCGAUUAGGUAGUUGUUGGGGUAAUUGCCCAACAAGCCUGUAAUCGGUACGGGUUGUGGGAGCAAGAGCCCGGAGUUGGAUUCUGAGACACGAAUCCAGGCCCUACGGGGCGCAGCAGGCGCGAAAACUUUACAAUGCGGGCAACCGUGAUAAGGGAACCUCGAGUGCCUGUAUACGCAGGCUGUCCAGGUGCCUAAAACACACCUGAAGAAAGGGCCGGGCAAGACCGGUGCCAGCCGCCGCGGUAAUACCGGCGGCUCGAGUGGUGGCCGCCUUUAUUGGGCUUAAAGCGUUCGUAGCUGGUUUGUUAAGUCUCUUGGGAAAUCUGGCGGCUUAACCGUCAGGCGUCUAAGGGAUACUGGCAAUCUUGGAACCGGGAGAGGUGAGGGGUACUUCGGGGGUAGGAGUGAAAUCCUGUAAUCCUCGAGGGACCACCUGUGGCGAAGGCGUCUUACCAGAACGGGUUCGACGGUGAGGGACGAAAGCUGGGGGCACGAACCGGAUUAGAUACCCGGGUAGUCCCAGCCGUAAACUAUGCUCGCUAGGUGUCAGGCAUGGCGCGACCGUGUCUGGUGCCGCAGGGAAGCCGUGAAGCGAGCCACCUGGGAAGUACGGCCGCAAGGCUGAAACUUAAAGGAAUUGGCGGGGGAGCACAACAACGGGUGGAGCCUGCGGUUUAAUUGGACUCAACGCCGGACAACUCACCGGGGACGACAGCAAUAUGUAGGCCAGGCUGAAGACCUUGCCUGAAUCGCUGAGAGGAGGUGCAUGGCCGUCGCCAGUUCGUACUGUGAAGCAUCCUGUUAAGUCAGGCAACGAGCGAGACCCA
rnacentral:rRNA from 1 species